rnacentral:rRNA from 1 species
AAUCGAACCAAGAGCUAGCUGGUUCUCCCCGAAAUGCGUUUAGGCACAGCGUUGGAUUUAUCUUGCAGGAGGUAGAGCACUGGUUUUGUGCGGGCGUCGAAAUGAUGUACCAAACAAUGUCAAACUCCGAAUACCUGUAAUGUCAUUAUCCAGCAGUGAGGCUAUGAGUGAUAAGAUCCAUGGCCAAGAGGGAAACAGCCCAGAACGCCAGUUAAGGUCCCUAAUAUAUGCUAAGUGGUUAAGGAGGUAGAGUUACUGAGACAACCAGGAGGUUGGCUUAGAAGCAGCCAUCCCUUGAAAGAGUGCGUAAUAGCUCACUGGUCAAGUGACUCCGCGCCGAAAAUACACCGGGACUAAAGCAUAUAACCGAAGCUGCGUCAUAUAGUUUACUAUAUGGGUAGGGGAGCGUACUGUAGUAAGACGAAGCUAGAGUGAAAACACUAGUGGAUGAGGCAGUAGUGAGAAUGUCGGCAUAAGUAGCGAAAACAUUGGUGAGAAUCCAAUGCACCGAAAACCUAAGGUUUCCCACGGCAGGCUCGUCCGCGUGGGGUUAGUCGGAUCCUAAGCUCAGGCCAAACGGCGUAGGCGAUGGACAAUAGGUUGAUAUUCCUAUACUAUCUGAUAAUCGUUAUCAGAAGCGGAGGGACGCAAGAGGAUAAGCACGCAGUCGACUGGAAGAGACUGUAUAAGCGUGUAGCUAGGUUUGACAGGAAAAUCCGUCAAAUCGUUAAUGUGAGGCGUGAUGUGGAGAGUCUACGGACUCGAAGGUGUUGACUCCAAAUUGCCAAGAAAAUCUUCGCUCUCGAGAUUAUUGGGUAUCCGUACCGUAAACCGCCACAGGUAGGUUGGUAGAAAAUACUAAGGUGCGCGAGACAACUCUCGCUAAGGAACUCGGCAAAAUCACCUCGUAACUUCGGGAGAAGAGGUACCCUGGUAGCGUGAAGCGAUUUACUCGUGAAGCGUGAUAGGGUCGCAGUGAAUAGGCCCAAGCGACUGUUUACCAAAAACACAGGUCUCUGCUAAGUCGAUCAAGACGAUGUAUAGGGGCUGACGCCUGCCCGGUGUCGGAAGGUUACGCGGAAAUGUUAGAAGCAAUUCAAAGCAUCGAAGCUAAGCCCCGAUGAACGGCGGCCGUAACUAUAACGGUCCUAAGGUAGCGAAAUUCCUUGUCAGGUAAGUUCUGACCCGCACGAAUGGCGUAACGAUUUGGGCGCUGUCUCGGCGAGAGGCUCGGCGAAAUUGGAUUAUCCGUGAAGAUACGGAUUACGUGUACCAGGACAGAAAGACCCUAUUGAGCUUUACUGUAGCUUGAAAUUGAAUUCGGGUUCUCAUUGCGCAGUAUAGGUGGGAGACUAAGAAGCUUGAACUUUGGUUUAAGUGGAGUCAUCGUUGAGAUACCACUCUGUGAAAAUUUGGAUUCUAACCUUGAUCCCUCAAAGAACAGGGCAAGGGACAGUUUCUGGUAGGCAGUUUGACUGGGGCGGUCGCCUCCUAAAAAGUAACGGAGGCGUUCAAAGGUUCCCUCAGGUUGGUCGGAAAUCAACCGUUGAGUGCAAUAGCAAAAGGGAGCUUGACUGUGAGACCUACAAGUCGAGCAGGUACGAAAGUAGGAUAUAGUGAUCCGGUGGUUCUGCAUGGAAGGGCCAUCGCUCAUCGGAUAAAAGUUACCAUAGGGAUAACAGGCUUAUCUCCCCCAAGAGUCCACAUCGACGGGGAGGUUUGGCACCUCGAUGUCGGCUCGUCGCAUCCUGGGGCUGAAGUAGGUCCCAAGGGUUGGGCUGUUCGCCCAUUAAAGCGGCACGCGAGCUGGGUUCAGAACGUCGUGAGACAGUUCGGUCCAUAUCCGGUAUACGCGCAAGAGAUUUGAACGGAGUCUUCCUUAGUACGAGAGGACCGGGAAGAGGGGACCUCCAGUGUACGGGUUAUUCUGCCAAGAGUAAACGCCCGGUAGCUGUGUUCCAAGCGGAUAAGUGCUGAAAGCAUAUAAGUACGAAGCCCACCGUAAGAUGAGAUUUCUCAUAGCAUAAGCUAGUAAGUCCCGUUGCAGAUUACAACGUUGAUAGGUCGCAGGUGUAAGAGUGGCAACAUUUUCAGCCGAGCGAUACUAAUAGGACGAGGGCUUUCCUU